AUAGUCACUGAUGAUAAUUUGGCUCCCUCUACUGAAUUCCAUGAGGAAAUCUGCCAUUGUUACCCAAUUUCAGUCUGAGAUUUG